AGCAACGAAAAUAAUUUUAUGGUUGGGGGUCACCACAACAUGAGGAACUGUAUUAAAGGGUCGCGGCAUUAGGAAGGUUGAGAACCACUGCACUAAGGGAAUUUUAAAGAAUACCUUCUCCAUAUCCACAGAAAGCUCAGCAAACCACUGUCUGGCAUCUUUCUGCUGUACAACACAGGCUACAUGUAGGCAAGCUGGAAAGAAAAUAAGAGACAAAGGCCCACGUUUAACUAGAAACAUACAAUGUGUGGACUCAGAACUAAAGGUAAAAUUUUCUCUUACAUUUUUCAUGUAUAUUUUCCAAUAUUCUUUUAGAAAAUUGCAUAGAUUCAUAUAAUAGUUACCAUUGACCAUGCCAUCAAUUUAACCUCAUACAGACAGAAAAAAUUAUUAGACCAUAUUAAGGUUCUUGACAUUUCCAGCUCCUCAGUGUGGCAUGGUGCAGUUGCCUUGAGAGUCAGGGCAUGUUAGAGAGAGGAAAAUUCAAUGAGGAAAUUAAAGCAGAGAAAUUAUCUCUGAACAAUGAUACAAAGUAGUAUACAAUAUAAUCAGAAGUCAGUGUGAUUAAAAAAAAAAAAAAA